AGGGGUUUGAUCAUGGGGCUCAGCAUUGAACGCUGGCGGCAGGCUUAACACAUGCAAGUCGAGCGGGGAGAUGUAGCUUGCUACAUUUCCUAGCGGCGGACGGGUGAGUAAUGCUUAGGAAUCUGCCUAUUAGUGGGGGACAACAUUCCGAAAGGAAUGCUAAUACCGCAUACGCCCUACGGGGGAAAGCAGGGGAUCUUCGGACCUUGCGCUAAUAGAUGAGCCUAAGUCAGAUUAGCUAGUUGGUGGGGUAAAGGCCUACCAAGGCGACGAUCUGUAGCGGGUCUGAGAGGAUGAUCCGCCACACUGGGACUGAGACACGGCCCAGACUCCUACGGGAGGCAGCAGUGGGGAAUAUUGGACAAUGGGCGCAAGCCUGAUCCAGCCAUGCCGCGUGUGUGAAGAAGGCCUUUUGGUUGUAAAGCACUUUAAGCGAGGAGGAGGCUACUUGGAUUAAUACUCUAGGAUAGUGGACGUUACUCGCAGAAUAAGCACCGGCUAACUCUGUGCCAGCAGCCGCGGUAAUACAGAGGGUGCGAGCGUUAAUCGGAUUUACUGGGCGUAAAGCGUGCGUAGGCGGCUUCUUAAGCCGGAUGUGAAAUCCCUGAGCUUU
rnacentral:rRNA from 1 species